GAGUCUAUACAUUCGUUGGUGUCGCAGGAACAAACAUACUUUAGUACGUAAACGCAAGCAACUUACUAUUUACUACACGAUUGACUAUAGUCGAGCGGCGCCUUGACGCUAUUGACUUUCAUAUGGUAUUAUCGUCGUGAAUGUCCUACCUGUGAGAGGCUCGAAUACAGGUCAAGAUCGUUGAAGCGCCUCUUCCAAGAGUGGCCACGAGCA
rnacentral:rRNA from 1 species